rnacentral:rRNA from 1 species
UACGUAGGGAGCAAGCGUUGUCCGGAAUCACUGGGCGUAAAGGGCUCGUAGGCGGAUAUUUAAGUCAGAUGUGAAAACUCCAGGCUCAACUUGGAGACUGCAUUAGAAACUGGAUAUCUUGAGGGCAGGAGAGGAAAGUGGAAUUCCUAGUGUAGCGGUGGAAUGCGUAGAUAUUAGGAGGAACACCAGUGGCGAAGGCGACUUUCUGGACUGUACCUGACGCUGAGGAGCGAAAGCAUGGGGAGCGAACAGG